ACUGGUAUGAUCACUGAUGUUAAGCAACGUUGAGUAUGGUCAGUACUUAGAUGGGUGACCACUUGGGAAUAUCAGGUACUGCAAG